GAGGUCAUUUUUGCCAAAGAUAUAUAACACGGCUUUCUCUCUCUUGCAUAGGACUGUUCACCAUCUGCCUCCCUCAGUCCUUCUUCUCUCUCGCUUGAACCUGAAGCCUCUUGCAGACUCCGCUCUCUAUGUAGUCUCUUGCAUCUCUUUCAUAGACCCACCAGAAAAAAACUGUCUUGCAGCUCUCUCUCUCUGUGUUUCUCACUCUCUAACUCAGUCUCUCUUGCUCGCUCUCUAUGGUGGUUGGAUCAUGGAAGCUUUCUCUACAAGCACCGAAAAAAACUAAUCCAAGGAAAUUGCAUACUCUUAACCACACAAUUUGGACACUUAACCAGCUGAAGCUCGGGAUGUUAAACAACCAUUGUUGCAGGCUGUUGUGAUUCUUUAUUCUUCAUCAUUUUCUUUUGUACAUAAGAAAAGGGUGAGUAAUGAAUGGUGUACUGUAGUUGCUUAUAACUGAAACAUUGAAUAAUUUACACCUCAAAUGUACAGAAGAAUUCUGAAGUGUUGAGCCUUUUCUAGUCCAUCAUUAAACUCCUCGAUGGAAUGUUUGUAUGUUAUUUAACAGACUUGUAAUAAGCAGGGAUGAAUGAGGCUGAGUGAAGUGCAUGCACCUGAGGAUGAAAUCAUGAAACUGAAGCUUUCAAUGGCAUGCCAUACAAUUUAUAUUAUUGAUAUAAUGUUCGGAGA